GGUCUGAUGCCACGUCGCCGGUAGCCAAAAAGGCGUUGACCGUCGAUGCUAUGAUUGGACCGAAACCAAUCUCAUGUUUCGUUUGCUGAUAGGAAUCUGUGGAUCUCAUCUUAGUUGAUACACGGAGCCGUUUCCUGCGAUUACAUAU
rfam:Populus trichocarpa scaffold_2_contig_148, whole genome shotgun sequence.